GAAAGACAAAAUGUUACGAGACAAAUUCUGUUUUGUUACUGAUCAUGUAUUAUUAACAUAGUAGAAAAAUUUUGCGUUCCUAACAAAGUUUGCGUUAAGGUAUGGUGUGACCUUUUUUAAGGUAUAUAGAGGAUACGGAGGAGUUAUAUCCGGUGGAAAGCGACCUGUCCAAGUACAUUUGGAACUUCAUUGGUCUAUUCAGGUUAGAAUCAAACCAUUUGUUCCAUGAGAAAGAGAUAGUUUCUGCCAAUAUAGAAGUAAAUUUGAACUUACGGUUAGGAGUUUAGAAUUAUUUGUACAGGCAAUAGCAUGGUUUCGAGUGCAAUUAGGAUAAAACAUGUGCGAGUGAGUUUUUCAAGGACUAUGGAAAUAGCAUGAGUCCGAAGGACGAGUGAAAAAAGGCACGAGUUUUUGUUUUAUCCACAUUGCCCUAGAAAAUGCUAUUAUAUACGUUUAUUAAUAAUAUACACAAUAAAUAUAUGCAGAAACCCCUCGCCUUGCAGGCAAAACCAUUAUAUUUUCCGAACGUGAAGUAUUUAAAUUAGUUGUCAUGGCCACACGAUCAUUUCAUUAAGAAUAUUUUUUAAAUUGAAAAAUCCCCUAAAAACAUCAUUUUUAAUUACAAAAUUAUCAAUUUCCCAAAAAUAUAUAUGUUAGGUAUGUUAUUAUACGUUAUUAUAUGUGAAUUAAGCUUCAAUUUAAUAUAAAAUUCACCACAAACGCUUCGCAAAACGUUUGAAAUAUUCUUAAAACUAAACUACCCUUUAUCGUUAAACUUUGAGUUUCAAAUAAAAAUACUUCAAAUUCUCCAAUGAAAAUAACUUUGCUUUCCUCUUUAUUUAAAGAUUUCAAUAAGUCUUUUAUCAUUAUAGGCAACGACAGUUUUUAAAGCAAUUAUAAAGCUAAUACAUCAAUAUUAAAAACAAACUUACCUUCAUUGGGUUUUACGAUUUCCAGCAAUCUAUUGCCCCCAGCCUUUUUGUUACGAACGAAUAAACUGUUUGGCUGCACGUCUCAUAUACGAUUUUUCGGGUUUCUAAAUAAAGUUUUCAAGUCUCCUGUAGCAAACGUGGGCGUCUUUUCUCCCUUCUUUUAGCAAGUUUUUGGCUUUUUUCCCCUCUUCAUGCUGGUUUCCGUUUGAUUAAAUAACUUUUCUUAAAUAUUUUAUUUGUUAAAUUUUUUUUUAUUUUCUCAAUAUAACUCGUAUAAAAGAGUUAGCAAAUUUGCAAAAUCUUUUAAAAAGCCGAUAUAUUUUCAAAUGCUGUCUGUUCCUAUGAUGUCGUAAUGGCAAUGCAGUCAUCAUAAAGCGAAAUUUUUAAAUUUUACCAAUCAGUGUUCGCCAUUCCAUUACAGUCUUCCAUAUUUCUGAGAUCAGUGGGAGGUCGACCCUUGGAUCAUAGCCAGACGCCCGCGAUGUGUGAUGAUCCUCACAUUUCGCCAAUGCCUUCCUUUCCCUGGGUGUAAAUAGGCGAGCGGAAUUAGUACCCUCGCCCUGGGCUUACUUAAUGCAUAGAACUGCACAAUACCAACGCGAAUCGUGCGUUUCGAACUCAUUUAAGAAGUUAAAAAUACAAUUAAGAAGUCCUAUUGUGCUUUCCGUUCGCCAAGCACCAGAAGUCCAUCAAAAAAGUAAAAAAUCUGCCUUUUGUCAAGUAGACCGUCAUGUUAAAUAUCGUCUUCGGCCAAACUCGUUCCCAGGGUGUUCUUGCUGAAAACAUGUCCAUUUCCCAAUAUGAAAAUGCUUAAAAGCCCGGGAAAUCUGCACUGUAUUUCCUUUUUCUGCAGUGUAUUUCCUUAAAAUUAUGCUGCUCUCAGUCUAACGUAUGAUAGGGGUACGAAGGGAAUAUUGAUAUUUUUCCCCAAAAUCUUGCUGUGCGGAUGAAAUGGAAUGUUAGGGACUAUUAAAUAUUAAGUUUUAAGAAGAAUUAAAAAACGGUUUGCAAAUAAAACAAGAUAAUAGUAUAAAAAGGCAAAUCACACUUUGUUUUUCUUUUUCUAUAGGCUACGUCGGGGGUUCCUUCGAUAGCGAGAAAGGUGGUGGUUCUAAUUAUCUGUGUUUGUCACGUAACCAAAUUUAUAACCAAUAUAAAUCUGGUGUUCAUGAAACUCAUGCUCGAAUUUAUGGCGCUGAAUAUAGAACUGGAACUGAUGGAGACAUAUAUCCGGAGGAUCUGCACGAACAAGACGUUCCCUGUGCCGUGUGUUAUGUGAGACAUCGUGCCUCUCAAAUUAUGAUACCAGGAAGUAACGCGUGUCCCGCGGGGUGGUGAUUGGAGUAUCAAGGAUAUCUCAUGGCGCAAAAAUACACCCACUAUCGUACGAUGUUCUCAUGUGUGGUUGAGAACCCAGAUUACAUAACAGGAGGUUCUGCUAGGAAGGACGGCAUAGUGUUUUAUUUCGUUGACGGAAAAUGUGGCUCACUUCCCUGCCCACCAUAUGUCGAAGGGCGUGAGCUGACAUGGGCAGUGUGCACUCGUUAACUAUGAACACUUUGUCUCACUUUAAGAAAGCUAUGACGAUAAUAAUAAUAAUAAUUAUAGUGUUGUACAAAUCUCACUUGGUAUAACGUAACUUAGAAUUGGCUAGCUGCAUUGAUUACAACUAUAAGUGAAAUAAAAAAAGAUUUCGUGCAAAUGGAUUACUAUAUUCGUUUGGUCAUGGCGUAUUGGAUGGUCAUGGCGUAUUGGAUACACGUAUUUCUAGGAG